CCUACGGGUGGCAGCAGUAGGGAAUCUUCCACAAUGGGCGAAAGCCUGAUGGAGCAACGCCGCGUGGGUGAAGAAGGUCUUCGGAUCGUAAAACUCUGUUGUUAGAGAAGAAAGUGCGUGAGAGUAACUGUUCACGUUUCGACGGUAUCUAACCAGAAAGCCCCGGCUAACUCCGUGCCAGCCGCCGCGGUAAUACGGAGGGGGCAAGCGUUAUCCGGAUUUAUUGGGCGUAAAGGGAACGCAGGCGGUCUUUUAAGUCUGAUGUGAAAGCCUUCGGCUUAACCGGAGUAGUGCAUUGGAAACUGGGAGACUUGAGUGCAGAAGAGGAGGGUGGAAGUCCAGGUGUAGCGGUGAAAUGCGUAGAUAUAUGGAAGAACACCAGUGGCGAAAGCGGCUCUCUGGUCUGUAACUGACGCUGAGGUUCGAAAGCGUGGGUAGCAAACAGGAUUAGAUACCCUAGUAGUC
rnacentral:rRNA from 1 species